rnacentral:rRNA from 1 species
GACGAACGCUGGCGGCGUGCUAAUACAUGCAAGUAGAACGCUGAAGGAGGAGCUUGCUUCUCUGGAUGAGUUGCGAACGGGUGAGUAACGCGUAGGUAACCUGCCUGGUAGCGGGGGAUAACUAUUGGAAACGAUAGCUAAUACCGCAUAAGAGUAGAUGUUGCAUGACAUUUGCUUAAAAGGUGCAAUUGCAUCACUACCAGAUGGACCUGCGUUGUAUUAGCUAGUUGGUGGGGUAACGGCUCACCAAGGCGACGAUACAUAGCCGACCUGAGAGGGCGAUCGGCCACACUGGGACUGAGACACGGCCCAGACUCCUACGGGAGGCAGCAGUAGGGAAUCUUCGGCAAUGGACGGAAGUCUGACCGAGCAACGCCGCGUGAGUGAAGAAGGUUUUCGGAUCGUAAAGCUCUGUUGUAAGAGAAGAACGAGUGUGAGAGUGGAAAGUUCACACUGUGACGGUAUCUUACCAGAAAGGGACGGCUAACUACGUGCCAGCAGCCGCGGUAAUACGUAGGUGGCAAGCGUUAUCCGGAUUUAUCGGGCGUAAAGAGAGUGCAGGCGGUUUUCUAAGUCUGAUGUGAAAGCCUUCGGCUUAACCGGAGAAGUGCAUCGGAAACUGGAUAACUUGAGUGCAGAAGAGGGUAGUGGAACUCCAUGUGUAGCGGUGGAAUGCGUAGAUAUAUGGAAGAACACCAGUGGCGAAGGCGGCUACCUGGUCUGCAACUGACGCUGAGACUCGAAAGCAUGGGUAGCGAACAGG